AACGAAUGCGAAUGGAUUGUUGAAAUAAACGAAGCCUUGUUAUAAUAUGUCGCUAUCAACUGUUGCCAAGGCGCCACGGUGGUCGCCCGUGAUCACCAAUAAGAUACACGGUCCAUUGGGAAAGAAUAUCGUCUUACAUCAUCAAUUUAUUAUUACUUUGCCAUUAUAUGCUUUGAAUAAUAAAAAUACUCCCGUGGCGUCCUGAGCGAAACAUGUGAUUUCGGCGUGGCGGUCAAAGUGUUAAGUCGUGAACUGGUCAAGCAAAGUGGAUAGGACGAUAAAGAGCAAGAAUAGGACAAGAAAAGUAUCCAAUGCGCAGUUUAUAGAUAGCGAUAAAUUAGUUUAGAGCAGUUUAGACUAUUGGGAUGUAAUAAGUAGGUUUGAAUUGAUAAGUCUACAAAUAAGCAUAAAAGAAUGUUGGCAAUAAAAGUACCAAGCAACAACAUCGAGUGAUAUCAAAGUAACGUCAAAGUAGGAGUGUAAGGUCAGGAAGGUACAAUAUGGAAUGGAAGGCUGUGCGAUUUAGUAUAUUCCGUAAAUCAAGCUCUAUUCUGCGACCCCUAAGGAUUAUUAGAAGAAUAAGCCAGCAUCCAAUAAACAGGUGCAUAAAAUAUUUAAUGAAACCUUCUACCGGUUUCCAUUAGAGCAAAAAACCACCAACAGCCAAACCAUAUCGCGUAAGACUUGAGAAAUAAAAGCAACACUACGCUCUAACAGCCAACUACUAAUAAAGACUUGAAAAAUAAACGCCUCGUAAAAACAAUGAUAAGAAAAGAAUGAUAUAACUUCUGACAGAAGCGCAACAUCUUCGUACAUAAAUCCAGUAGAAACGUGCACGAAGUAAGCCCGGCUAUGACUUUCACGAGAAAAGAACAGACACAAAUAACUAGACUGGGGAUAAGGUCAGUCUUAACAUUACACCUUCGCACUUUAUCGAAGAACAGAAUCCUAAAGCCCGUAAGUAUCGCAACGUCAACAACACCAUGGAAUAUUUACUUUGCUACAGAAUCAAAUUCGGCGAAACAAGACGCGACACAAAGAUACGAUAUACAGGUGGCUGAUUUUCAUUGUCAAUAACUUUUAGAUAAGAUAGAACAGCCGGCAAUCAUCAGUUUUCGAUACAAGAGAUUCAUUAAUACUUGGACAUUAUGUAUGGAAUAUAAUAUCAGAAUGACAUUGACAAAGAGCUUAGGAAGUCGAGCCCUUAAUCGAAGAAUGCUCUUCGUUACAUUCUCGCACGUUUCGCAAGUUAUGUUCGUUAUCGAUUCUCCGAUAGCAUCCUUUAGCUGCUCGAUUACGUUUGGUUCAUUGACAUACACUUUACUUUUAAGAAAACCCCAUAAGAGGAAGAAGCGUAGUGCAGUUAAAUCAGUUAGAUUAGAUGAUAGGACGAUACCAGAUGAUAAAAAAGCGAACGUAACUUGCGCGACAUCACCGUCAUCGAAAUUAUUUUGAUAAGAAUACUCGAAUUGCUUUGACAAAAUGUUUCGAUAAUUUUCUCUUUUUUUCUUGAACUGCGCAACGUUCCAUGAUUAUUUUGCCACGUAUCCAUAAAACAAUUGCUAGAGCGGAAAAGUGAUACAUCGUGCCAGAAUGUCAAUUUUGAAAUUAGUCAAUUGUACAUAUGUACAUUCAGCCUGCACGAUCGCUUCUAAUUAAUAGAACACAGUGUAAAAAAUUGCAAGUUUGCUAGAAGAAAUAGAUCAUUCACAAUGCCUAUAGAAGUAUACAAAACUGUACUAAUUCGCUAAUUAAUAACUAACUAAUUAUUUACUGCACUGACUAAUUAUUAAUAGCAUUAACUAUUAAGCAUGGAAAUAGUAUUUAGAUACCUGUAUACAAUGCUGUAAAUAAUUAUAGACUCAAACACAAUUUCUGCAUUAUAUCUUUAAUAUUUCCAAGAAACCAGUGAUCGUAGCUUGAUAUGUUAAGCGAAAUUAUUUUUGCAAAGGGUAAACUGAUAGGAUAUCAGGAUAUCAUGAUAUUACAUGACGAACUAUUGCCUUUCAUGGUCGGAAUAGAAGAUAGAAAAUUAUUCAACUAUUCACGCAGAAAAUUAUCCAUACAAUCCGCUACGAAAAAGUGGUUUUACAAUUUCGGAAUAGAACUGUUACCAUGGUCAGCAUCGAGUCCUGAUCUGAACCCGAUCAAGAAUCUGUGGGGAACUCUGGCAAGAAAAGUUUGCGACCAACAGAAGUCAUUUAUAGAAAAUAUCGUUGAAUUUAAAAAAUGGAACGAAACUUUAAAUAAGUUAGUGGAUAGCAUACCUAACAGAUUAACAGAAAUAGCCAUAAAUAAAGGGAAAUCCACUAAAUAUUGAGCGAAAAGAAUACAUGUAAUUGUGGCCACUAGUAUCUUACCAGCUUAAGUAACGAGAAACGAUAAAUAAGAGAAAAAAGAAGAAAGGAAGAAAUGAUCGAAAUCACAAUGAACAAGGAGCGUGGCUAAUUCGAUGCAAAUUGAUGGCGUUGCUUAACAACGACUGAUGCGCGAAUUGAGUUUCGUUAUUUUGACCUCGAUCGGAGAGGAACGUAUUUGCCUACGCGACGCCGUUGAUUGAGAUGGAAUUCGAGUACGCUACACGCACAACGCUCGUUUAUUUUAUAGUCAAGGCACGUUUCAUAGAUCCAAUAAGAGAUUGACCCGAUUUUUACUGUUCGGUCACAGUCGCUUUCGAACCGUGGUAGCGUGCAACUUUCCGCCGCCAAUGGUAAAUCAUCUCGAUUCGCCAGACAAAGGAUUUAACCUGUUUCUUAGAGAUAUAAAUGCACCGCACUCCCAUCGACAGACUUUGAUGCAGGAAUGGGUAACAGCUUUAUCGAAAAGUCUUCUCGUUUUCUCUUUCUCUUUUUUCUUUUCAGAAGAAAGAAAUUAAAUGAAGCGAGACAAUUGAGAAUACGGAUGUUUCUUGAAACAUGUGCCAUGUUUAUUUUCCAGUUACCAGAUUUUCAGAGUUUGCACAUUUAAUUAUAUUUGUCUAGAAAUCAUCGAUGCAAUGCUAGGAUGCUGACUGCAAAAUUUUUGGUCUGAAUGUGGCUUUCAGGCGGCGAUAUUUCGGGCCGCCAAAGCCGCAAAUAAGGAUCAUUUUUCAUGGAAAUGAACGGUUUUAACAAUUCGUCCUUGCGAACAUUUGGCCGACAAAAGUUUUAACUUUAGAAAUUCGCGCAAGAUCGCGAUCGUCAGACUGCGGAUUUUUGUGCAAAUUCAUAUUUUUCAGAAUAUAUUUUGGAAUGUGGAACUUUGGUAAAAAAUUGUUUUACCUAUCGAGUAUGGUAGAAAGCAUUAUAGCUUAGAUGCUUUAGAUGCGUCUUCUCGUAUUGUGUGCAUUCUGUGCAUUCUGUGCAAUGUUAAAUUUUCAAAGUUAGUAAGCGGUAAGCUAAUUUUGCCACUUAUAGCUUGGCGCUCAUUGUAUGAACGCUAACUAAUUAAAAAAUAACUCAAACCUAGUGCAAUGCUCGCGAUUCAAAUGCAUACAGAGCGUGCCACACAGUAGGUUAAGAGCACCAAGUUUUAGAAAAGGUCUCGUUAAAAUCCACGAGGACGUCACACAUCAACAGGUUGAUGGAAAUUUUUGACGUCUUAUUUCCGUGAAAAACGACUCUCACUUUCGGCUCCAGCGACCUC